AAAACAUGGCUCCUUGUUCACAGCAUAUAAGGAGUCGGACCUGCCCAGUGAAAUUUUUAACGGCCGCGGUACUCUGACCGUGCAAAGGUAGCAUAAUCAUUUGCCUUAUAAUUCAAGGCUAGUAUGAAUGGUUUGACAAGAGUGUAGCUGUCUCUUUAUAAUUAAACAGAAUUUUAUUUAAAGGUGAAGAAGCCUAUAUUAAAUUAAAAGACAAGAAGACCCUAUCGAGCUUGAAAAAAACUAAUAGACUAAACAAUUAAUGAUGCCMGAAAAUUAACUAUUAUAAAUUUUUGUUGGGGUGACUGAGGAACAAAAAAAGCUUCCUUUAUARAACUAAAACUAAACAAGUAUUGAUCCAAAACAUUUUGAUUAAAGGAAUUAGUUACCGUAGGGAUAACAGCAUUAUCUUUUUUAAGAGCCCCUAUCGAAAAAAAGGKUUGUGACCUCGAUGUUGGACUAAAAUAUCCUGAAGAUGCAAAAAUCUUUAAAGGGUGGUCUGUUCGCCCAUUAAAAUUCUACGUGAUCUGAG
rnacentral:rRNA from 1 species